rnacentral:rRNA from 1 species
ACUCAAAGGAAUUGACGGGAACCUACACAAGCGGUGGAGCAUGUGGUUUAAUUCGAUAAUACGCGCAGAACCUUACCAAUUCUUGUAAAUUAUUUUCAAAAUUUUAAUUGAAAAUAAACAGGUGUUGCAUGGCUGUCGUCAGCUCGUGUUGUGAAAUUUUUGGUUAAUUCCUUUAACGAGCGCAACCCCUAUUUUUAGUUGCUAAUUUAUAUAUUAUUAUAAAAGUACUUUAAAAAAAAUGUCAAUGAUAAGUUGAAGGAAGGUGGGGAUGACGUCAAGUCUUCAUGGCCCUUAUGGAUUGGGCUACACACGUGCUACAAUGGUGAUUACAAUGAGAGGCAAUAAUAUAUAAAAUUGGAGCAAAUCUUUAAAAAUUAUCUAAGUUCGGAUUAUGGGCUGCAACUCGCCCAUAUGAAGUUGGAAUCGCUAGUAAUCGCAAAACAGCAUGUUGCGGUGAAUAUGUUACUAGGUUUUGCACACACCGCCCGU